rnacentral:rRNA from 1 species
UGAGGAAUUUUGCGCAAUGGGCGAAAGCCUGACGCAGCGACGCCGCGUGGGGGAUGAAGGCCUUCGGGUUGUAAACCCCUUUCGUGAGGAAAAAAGUCCCGAGCAAUCGGGAUGAUGGUACCUCAGGAAGAAGCCACGGCUAACUCUGUGCCAGCAGCCGCGGUAAGACAGAGGUGGCAAGCGUUGUUCGGAAUUACUGGGCUUAAAGGGCGCGUAGGCGUUUCAAUAAGUCAGAUGUGGAAUCCUUAGGCUUAACCUAAGAAUUGCAUUUGAAACUGUUGGGAUUGAGUAAGGCAAGGGAGGGCAGAAUUCCUGGUGUAGCGGUGAAAUGCGUAGAUAUCAGGAGGAAGGCCUGUGGCGAAGGUGGCCCUCUAGGCCUUAACUGACGCUGAGGCGCGAA